UACGGAGGGUGCGAGCGUUGUCCGGAAUCAUUGGGCGUAAAGGGCGCGUAGGUGGCCCGGUCAGUUCGUGGUGAAAGCGCGGGGCUCAACUCCGCGUCGGCCAUGAAUACUGCUGGGCUUGAGCACUGUAGAGGCAGGCGGAAUUCCGGGUGUAGCGGUGGAAUGCGUAGAGAUCCGGAAGAACACCGGUGGCGAAGGCGGCCUGCUGGGCAGUAGCUGACACUGAGGCGCGACAGCGUGGGGAGCAAACAGG
rnacentral:rRNA from 1 species